GGAGGGAGACAGUGUGUCUGAGGCGGGAGGGGACUUCACUCCUGAAAAGUGUGUCCAGCAGGUGCUUCUCACAGAGACCAGCUCAAAGCCACCAAAAAUUGGGCAACUUGGGCGUCUGAAAAGACGAUUUUUGCAUUUUUGGCAAAAAAUUGGCUCCCGCAAUGACAGGCGCAAAGUGGAAGAGAGUGAACAACCCUCUGGGGCUGGUGAUGUUCAAUGCAAGUCUCCACAGCCAGUGAGAGACUGAGGGAUGGUGAGAGUCACCAGUAAAUAAAGCGGUCGGUGAGGGUCACCAGAAGGCACAGACGUUGGUGAGGGUCACCAAGUGAAACUGAGAGCUGGUAAGGGUCGCCAGAAGUCAAUGGAGCCGAUGAGGUAAACUGAAAGUGAAGCUGUGGUGAGGAUUUCUGAAUGAGACCAGUGCGAUGCAGUGUGGUGAUGCUCAUCAGAAAGCAAUGCGUGCUGUUGAGGAUCACUGGAGCUGCUGGAUGUGAGGUGCAAUCACAGAUUUGAUUAUGAAGACAAAGACAAGGCAGAUGCUGAUUCUGAAUCUGAAGCUGUCUGUAAUAAAGCUUGUCAUCUUCAGUCA